AGCACACGCAAGUAUUCCUUUUCGUGGCCUCGUCUCCGCACUUCAAGGCAUGAGCCCUCUCCAAGAACUAAAGAUUGAGAAUACUCAUGUGACAGAAACGGGGGAUCUAGGGGCGCGGAUGCCACUGACCUGCCUAUAAACCUGUGAGGCAAGCGCCUGCAGACCCGAGAGUCGUGCCUUGGAGGAACAUCUAAAAAGAUGGAGGGCGGGGAUAGAAGCGGCCAACCACUCCGACCUCGGCUCCCAGGUUCGACUUUUUUGCUACAAUCUGCCCUACACACUCCUAUAGCCCAAUAAGGGGAAGGGGUAUUUUUUAGGGACCGUGCGGAAUUCGAGGUGUAACUUCAGGCAGCCCCCGGAUCUCGGCCCUCCCUGGGCCGGGGGAAGAGCUAGGGCUUUGCAGCGGGGCGUGGCUCCGGCUGGGGGGGAAGGGCGCCGGCCUGGGCUGGCAGGGGGACUCUUUGCCUGCGCCCAGCGGAAGGAGCGACGACGGCGGUACUGCGAUUACUUCCAGCAGUUUCCAGACCCGCCUUGGCGGCCCCGCCCCUGCUCCGCCCCUUUCCUCCAGGCCCCGCCCCGCCUCCUGCGGCCUGAGCCGUCUCUGCAGCUGCUGUGUUACCCAUCCGUCUCUGCCGGGGUCCCCGGGGAGGAGGAGCUGCCACACCGGAGGAGGAGAGGGUCUCCUGGGACCCCUGCAGAGUAGCAGGGACUCUUGGAGGUCGCUUGAAGACGCUGGCCGGAGGGUAGCCUGCUGCAGGCUGCCAGAAUUUGUUCCUCUUCAGCUGUGGCGCCGGAGGUCCCAAGCCCCCAAACCGUUAGCCUGCCCAAAGGGCUGUGGGACGCCAUACUUCGCUUGGCUCUGCCCCUUUUGCGUGCUAACCCUAACCCUAACCCUUGUCUAGCCAAGGCCUCAUUUAGGACUCGUGUCGGACCCACAGCUCCUCGGGAAGAGAAUGGCCACUUCCUGCUCUGUGACCUUGGAGAUGUCCAUCAGCUGUCUUCCUGGCCCACAGCGUCCUCCACUGGGAUGCUGGGGAGGGGUUCCCCCACCACCACCCCUAAUCCUUCCUUCAACAGCCGUGGUGCCCGGUCUUCCUUCCUUUGUAUUUUCUUUAUUCAUAUGUUAAAUUCCAGAAAACAAAGGACCCUCCCUUUCUUUAUUUUUGCCCCACACUCCAGACCUCAUCAUCCGGCUGCCACCACCCCAAUUUUAUUUCUCCUUACUCUUCUAUUCCCCUUUCUUACGGUGUGUGAAAAACCUGUGACUGGAAGUUAAUGGGCUUGGGAAGGGUGCUCUUUACCAGGAAUCUCCCAGGAUUCUCUGUUCCUGAUCAAAAUCUCAAAGGAAGUGUGUCAUGACACCUCAACAUACCCUCUCUCCCUCUGGGCAGAAGGGGUCUAGCAAAUUAAAAAUCUCCCUAGUUCACAAGACCACUGACACCAUUUCAUGGUCCUGUUAAGUGGUGAAAAUGAGAGUCCACAAUCUAGGAACUGGGAAAGCAAAGCUUCAGUGAGAUCAGUCAGCUCAAAGCCUUUGGUGCACCAACCCUUGCUCCUUGCUCCAGAAAUGGAGUGGAGAUGCUGUCUCUCCCCUCUCAGGACCCAAGUCCAGGGCAGAGCAGAAAUCACUCCUUUAUUUAUUUAUUAGAUUUUUUAAAUUUAUUCAUUCGAGACAGAGAGAGAGAGAGAGAGAACAUGAGCGGGGGAGAAGCAGAGGGAGGGGGAGAAGCAGGCCCCCCGCCGAGCAGGGAGCCCAAAGUGGGACUUGCCAUGUUCCAGGCCCCCGGGAUCAUGACCUGAGCUGAAGGCAGACACUUAACUGACUGAGCCACCCAGGCAUCCCAGACAUCACUCCUGUUGACCAGUAUUAGGACCAGAGACCUUUCAGGGGUCUUCUAAUGGGAAGAUCUCAAAUCUUGCACUAGCACAGAAAUUCUGCCUUCUCUUCUGGAAGCCUUCUCCCACUCACUGACACUCACUUAAGCCCCCACAGUGAGUGCUUGGGGAUGCAAAAAUGCAUAAAUAAGAUGGAGGUUUUAGCCCACAAGGGGCUGCUGCAGGACAAGUGUGAAUCAUAGCACGUGGGAGAACUAUCAGAGACUCCCAGCUCCGCCUGAGCAACGGGGCAGGCUUAGGGCUAAGGCUAGCCAGCCCACGGCACAGGUCUAUUCCCAGAAGAGGGAAAAACAUGGAGAGGCACAGCCCUGACACUUCUGUGUCAUAGCCUAGGGGCCCCUGAGGGAGGCAGAAGCGCUGAAAGUGACCCUGCAGGCAGGGUUCGGGUCACAGAGGGCCACAAAUGCCAUGCUAAGACGUCCUGACCUUAACUCAGAGUGAGGGAAGCCACUGAAGGCUAUUAAAAACAGCUUAAACCCCCUAGAUCUCCAGAAAACUAUUUCCGGCAGCACUUGCAAUGCUCACUGUUCCCAAGAUACCCUUUGUUCCUGACCAGGCCUCAAAGACCCAGCCCAACCUUCUGUUGUUGGAGGGUAGCCAGAUGAAGCAAGAACUGACCAACUGUGGCCUGCAGCUGGUGGGCCUGUUGCUUGUUUUUACAUGGCUUAUGGGGAAGAAUGUUUUUUACAUUUUUUAAAUUGUUGAAAAAAGUCAAGGGAAAGAAAAUAUUUUGCCAUGUGGAAAGUACAUGAAAUUUGAAUUUGUGCUCGUAGAGCUUUACUGGAACAUAGCCCCUCUCAUUUGUUUACAUGUUGUUUUUGGCUAAUUUUACUCUGCAAUGGCAGAGUUGAUAGUACAGCAGAGACCAGGUAGCUUGCAGAGUCUAAAAUAUGUAGUCUCUUACCUUUUACAGAGAAGACUUACAGACCCCUGAUCUAGCUAAAGCAGAGUGAAGUCUUGGAGCAGAGACUCAGCUGCUGCUCCGACUGGGAAUUCUCCUAAUGAGGGUGCACCACUCGGCUUUCAGGGGGCUCAGGGAAGCUGCCAAGAUAAGAGGCAAUGGAUGAAUAAGGCAACCCACAGCAGCAGGACCUCAGGGAUUGUAUAAGCACGGGGAGUAGCUCUGGAUCCUUAA